AUAUGAUCAUAGUCAUCAUAAUUAUAUUUCAAGGUGCAUACAUAUAGGACUAUUGUGUGCACAAGAACUUGCCAAAGAUAGGCCCACUAUGGCUGCAGUAAUUUCUAUGCUUAACAGUGAAACUUCAUUACUUCCUCCUCCUAGUAAACCUGCAUUCAUCCUGAGGGAGAAUAUGUUAAAUUCAAAGUUAGCUGAAGAAUGUCAAAAUGGUUGUUCCGUCAAUAAUGUCAGUAUUACAGACAUCAGUGGCAGAUAGCACACAAAGUGGUCAUCAUAAUCUGGUUCAGCAUUUGACGUCUAAAGUUUCCUCCAAAAAUAAAAAAAUUAGUCUAGCCAAUAUAAAGGGAAUAAUAUUUUUAGCACAACACCUCGACUCUCGACAGAUUCUUUGGGUCAGCCCUUGACACCAGUAGCGGCUGACCUUCAGGCUAGUGGUUCGAUAUCUAUCCUUACUCAUCUUCGUAGCAACACCCUUAGCUCAGGCGCCUCCAAUGCAACAUUGAUGCCACUUUUUCAGGUCAGUUGAACUGUGCAUGUAGUGGCAUGUGCUUACGCGACGGAGACUGUGCUUUUGUUUUGGCUAGACCUAUGUGCUUUACUCGUUUGUGUUCUGUGGACGUCAGUGAAGCAUUGAGAUUAUUCCAUGCUUUAGAAUGACUUAGUGAUAUGGAGUUUGAUUGCGUGGAGUUCGUGCUCGACUCCAAAAUAACUACGUAUGGUUUGGCAAUAUUAUCUUACUUUGCUUCAAGGAAUAUUUUUGCUUCUCACUUCACAAACUCUCGGGUGGAGUUAAAUAGGAGAUAAGCGAAUACGGUUGCUCACGCCCUUGCAGCACAUUAUCUGCUACUCCCACGACUUAUUUUGAAAUACCCUCGUGUUUUGAUACUCUUACUAUUUAUGAAAUGGUAUAAGCAUAUUUCUUCAAAAAACCAUAUAACAUUCUUAUAGGAAUUUAUUAUAGUUGCAAUGUUGUUGUUGUCGUUGUAAAAUAUAAGUAUAAUUUAUAUGAAAGUGCAAAAUAUCUAUACCUAUAAUUUUAAUCAAAAUCAAAAACAAUUUUAAUCAAAAUUCCAUAAAAAAUAUUAUUUGUAAUUUAUACGCAUUAACGAAAUAAAAAGAGCAGACAUACUAGCAUAGAGUGUGUCCGUCCGAACGCUGACUUUAUAUAUUUUUAGGAUUAAAUACAUUUUUCGUCUGUAUAAAUAUUCAAACUUUUUGUUUUAAUUUUUAUUAAAAAUUUCUUAUUCUUUUAGUCCUACAAAAUUUAUUCGUCAACUCUUCAAAUUUUUCAAUGAAUUUUUGCAUAUAUAUAUUCUUAAUGAGUGAAUAGGCUAUUUUGUCUUCAAAUUUGUUCGCAUUGAUCAUUUUUAUCCUCAAAUUUUUUGAAAUAGACAAUACGUCCUUGAAUGAGCCAUCUUCUCAUCCUAAAAAUAAAUUUUUUACUUUAGCGAUUCUCUUUUAAAUAGAUUUAUUUCCUAGUGAUUAUGUUUUAAUUCAAUAAGAUCGUUUCUUUACAUUUUAAGAAGUUUCAUUUUGAUCAAUAAGAUAUCUAUUCAAUAAAUCAAUUUCUGAUAUUAACCUAAGCUUAUUAUUUGAUCAAGGAUUAUCCAGAAAUUGAUUCGAAAUUUCCGGAAGAAUUAGGAGAUACUUGGAAUUUUCUUGAUCAUUAAAGAAAUUCUAACAAUGUAACUUUUAAUAGAGAUUAUGUGUAUCCUCUCCUCAUAAAAGGUUGGAAUACAAUAAAAGAAUUUUACAAAGGUCAAAAAGAAAUUUUGGCUAAAGGAUAUAUAUAGUCUCUAUUAAAAGUUACAUUAUGAGAAUUUCCCGAAUGAUCAAGGAAAUUCAAAGUAUCUCCUAAUUCUUCUUCAAAUUUUUUCAGAAAUUUCGAAUCAAUUUCAACAUAAUCCUUGAUCAAAUAAUAAGCUUAGGUUAAUAUCAGAAAUUGAUUUAUUGAAUCAAAUGUCUUAUUGAUCAAAAUUUCAAAAUGAAACUUCUUAAAAUGUUAAGAAACAAUCUUAGAGUUAAAACAUAAUCACUAAGAAAUAAACCUAAUUAAGAGAGAAUCACUAAACAAUAAAAGUAAAAAUUAUAUUUUUAGGAUGAGAAAAUUAUAUGAAAUUGUAAACAAGAAGAUUGCAUGUGAUCUAUGAUGUUACUAAUCAAAAGAGAAUCACCAAACAACAAAAGGCAAAAGAAUCUACUGGCCUUCUGAUGACAAUUCUGUUUGCAGCCAUGGUAGAGCAAUCGUUUUUAGUUUCUGUAUAUAAUGAAAGAAGGUAAUGAGGACUUUGUAUAUAACCUUCUUAUUUAUAGUAAGACAUAUACAUCUAAUUUUUUUUUUUUUUUAAAUAGCCUUAAUAGAGGAAAUAAAAGAAAUUUUCAAAUGUAUGAGAUUCCUUUUUUAUUGAAAACCGAUUUCAAUAGUGAGAUUCUUGACUGACUUUACUGUGCUUGUGUCUUUGAAUGGUGGUUUUCAACAGUGUGAUUACAUGCAUUGGCUUGUUAAAAAUAUGGUGGAUUGAAACUGAGUGAAUAUGUGAUCAGGCCGUUUAUGAGAUUUUGGUGGCCUAUGGUGAACCUAUAAUUUAGGUCAUAACUAAUAAACAUAUAUAAACAUCAAAUUUGAUAUAAAAAAUAAAGCAAUUUUUUUUAAGAUCUAAUAGACCCCUAAAAAAAAUUUAAGAUCCAAAUUUCGUAUUUAAGAUUUAGGAUAGUCGCCCUCUUCGUGCCUUAUGUAUGGUCCUAAAUGUGACUUUGAAUCUUUGUGUAGUAUGGCAGUAUGCAUUGGCUUGAUACAUGUGACUUUGAAUUCACUUACACAAACCGAGUGAAUUUUCUUAACAAAUUUAGUUCACUUACAUGCAUUGGCUUGAUACAACACUGCAUGAUAUUGUGUGAGAUAAGAUUAAACUCUCUAAUAACGCGGCCGAAUCUUUUAUCCUUGACAACUUUUAAGUUUUUAAUUUUUCAUCUCGAUUUACCUUAUUCUUAAUAUAGUUUUUGGGUUUAGUCGGUGUUUUUUAUUUGUAAUUUCUUUGUUUUUUUUUUUCUUUCUUUCGUACUGGUUUCCAACCUAUCAAUGGUGGACGACUAAUCCGACCCGUACGUAGAGACAUGUGUACUGCCCAAGCGUUGUUCCCCAUGAGAAUCGAACCUGGUAUUCCCAAGUACAUCCUUGGAAGGAGCUUCUUGCCACUAGAUUCCAAACAACUUGGCUGUAAAUUAAUCUAAUAUGGCUAUGCUUCUCAAGAAAUCUCCGUCUUGAAAAUGUUUCAGUAAACUUGGGCAUGUACUUUGAACAAUUGCAUCAAUGGGAUUUGUGAAAUCGGUUAUUAAAUGUACUUCCGGGAUCUCAAUACCACCGUAAGCAUCAUUUGCUUCACCUAUUGUUCGUGUCAUUCGAAAAAGAUAAGAAUUUAUUAUACUUGCAAUGUUGUUGUUGUUGUCAUUGUAAAAUAUAAGUAUAAUUUGUACAAUAUGAAAGUGAAAAAAUAUAUAUACCGAUAAUUUUAAUCAAAAUCAAAACAAUUUUAAUCAAAAUUCCAUAAAAAAGUACGGUUUAAAAUUUAUAUGCAUUAACGAAAUAAAAAGAGCACAGAGUACCCGUAUGAACACUGACUUUAUAUAUUUUUAGGAUUAAAUAUAUUACAUAUUCAAACUUUUUGUUUUAAUUUUUAUUAAAAAUUUCUUAUUCUUUUAGUCCUACAAAAUUUAUUCGUCAACUCUUCAAAUUUUUCAAUGAAUUUUUGCAUAUAUAUNNNNNNNNNNNNNNNNNNNNNNNNNNNNNNNNNNNNNNNNNNNNNNNNNNNNNNNNNNNNNNNNNNNNNNNNNNNNNNNNNNNNNNNNNNNNNNNNNNNNNNNNNNNNNNNNNNNNNNNNNNNNNNNNNNNNNNNNNNNNNNNNNNNNNNNNNNNNNNNNNNNNNNNNNNNNNNNNNNNNNNNNNNNNNNNNNNNNNNNNNNNNNNUUUUUCUUUUAUCUCAUUUAGGUAUGGACACAAUGGAGUGAAGACAAUAUUUUGUCUCUAAUAGAUCAAGAAAUAUAUGAUCAUAGUCAUCAUAAUUAUAUUUCAAGGUGCAUACAUAUAGGACUAUUGUGUGCACAAGAACUUGCCAAAGAUAGGCCCACUAUGGCUGCAGUAAUUUCUAUGCUUAACAGUGAAACUUCAUUACUUCCUCCUCCUAGUAAACCUGCAUUCAUCCUGAGGGAGAAUAUGUUAAAUUCAAAGUUAGCUGAAGAAUGUCAAAAUGGUUGUUCCGUCAAUAAUGUCAGUAUUACAGACAUCAGUGGCAGAUAGCACACAAAGUGGUCAUCAUAAUCUGGUUCAGCA
rnacentral:lncRNA from 1 species